CGGAACGUGCCCUGGAGUGGGGGAUAACGCAGCGAAAGUUGCGCUAAUACCGCAUACGAUCUAAGGAUGAAAGUGGGGGACCUGCAAGGGCCUCAUGCUCCUGGAGCGGCCGAUAUCUGAUUAGCUAGUUGGUGGGGUAAAGGCCCACCAAGGCAUCGAUCAGUAGCUGGUCUGAGAGGACGACCAGCCACACUGGAACUGAGACACGGUCCAG
rnacentral:rRNA from 1 species